GACGAACGCUGGCGGCGUGCUUAACACAUGCAAGUCGAACGGAAAGGCCCUGCUUUUGUGGGGUGCUCGAGUGGCGAACGGGUGAGUAACACGUGAGUAACCUGCCCUUGACUUUGGGAUAACUUCAGGAAACUGGGGCUAAUACCGGAUAGGAGCUCCUGCUGCAUGGUGGGGGUUGGAAAGUUUCGGCGGUUGGGGAUGGACUCGCGGCUUAUCAGCUUGUUGGUGGGGUAGUGGCUUACCAAGGCUUUGACGGGUAGCCGGCCUGAGAGGGUGAACGGCCACAUUGGGACUGAGAUACGGCCCAGACUCCUACGGGAGGCAGCAGGGGGGAAUAUUGCACAAUGGGCGGAAGCCUGAUGCAGCAACGCCGCGUGCGGGAUGACGGCCUUCGGGGUGUAAACCGCUUUCGCCUGUGACGAAGCGUGAGUGACGGUAAUGGGUAAAGAAGCACCGGCUAACUACGUG
rnacentral:rRNA from 1 species